ensembl:lncRNA
CAGAGUCAUCCAGACAGGAGACAUCGGGAGCCUGUGUGAGGGCUGAAUGACUGCAGCACCGUCUGUCAGCUCCAGACCUCUUCCAAAAUCGCGCGGAUUGUGUGCAGAAGCUUCUCCCUGGAACACACCAUAGAUUUCAUGAUGGCCAUCAAGGACACCUUCCGGAAGGCCAAAGGAAUGCGUGUGCGUGCUGCUGGGAAGUGGAUGAUCACCUUUCUGCAGAUGCAUGGAAAGGACAUCUGUCGGGAUCUUGAUCUUUCACCGAUCAUCUACAUCCUGCGCAGCUGCAUGUCGUCCCUGCAGCACAGCACGAACAUGCCAUUCCUGUGCCAGGCGGUGGCCAUCCUCACCCGCUGUCACACAGACAUCACAAUUGACAGCUUCUUCCACAGGCGUUGAGCCCACAGACAGGUACUGGCACUCCUGCCUUUGCUACUGUUGCGGUCCCAGUUGUAGCUUGCCUCUGCCAGAGGGUUCCUGGGAGGACGCAGCUUUCCUUCUUUCCUCUCAAAGUCUGUUUGAGUUGAAAAUUACUCAGUCGUGACUUGAGACUCUCCUUUUUCUAGCGAGACAUGGAGGAGAGUAAGAG